rnacentral:rRNA from 1 species
UAGCAUAUCAAUAAGCGGAGGAAAAGAAACCAACAGGGAUUGCCCCAGUAACGGCGAGUGAAGCGGCAACAGCUCAAAUUUGAAAUCUGGCCCUCGGGUCCGAGUUUGUAAUUUGUAGAGGAUGCUUUUGGCGCGGUGCCUUCCGAGUUCCCUGGAACGGGACGCCAUAGAGGGUGAGAGCCCCGUCUGGUUGGACACCAAGCCUCUGUAAAGCUCCUUCGACGAGUCGAGUAGUUUGGGAAUGCUGCUCUAAAUGGGAGGUAUAUGUCUUCUAAAGCUAAAUACCGGCCAGAGACCGAUAGCGCACAAGUAGAGUGAUCGAAAGAUGAAAAGCACUUUGAAAAGAGGGUUAAAUAGUACGUGAAAUUGUUGAAAGGGAAGCGUUUAUGACCAGACUUGGGCUUGGUUGAUCAUCCGGCGUUCUCGCCGGUGCACUCUUCCAGUCCAGGCCAGCAUCAGUUCGUCGCGGGGGAUAAAGGCAGCGGGAACGUGGCUCCUCCGGGAGUGUUAUAGCCCGUUGUGUAAUACCCUGCCUCGGACUGAGGUUCGCGCUUCCGCAAGGAUGCUGGCGUAAUGGUCAUCAACGACCCGUCUUGAAACACGGACCAAGGAGUCGUCUUCGUAUGCGAGUGUUCGGGUGUCAAACCCCUACGCGUAAUGAAAGUGAACGCAGGUGAGAGCUUCGGCGCAUCAUCGACCGAUCCUGAUGUUCUCGGAUGGAUUUGAGUAAGAGCAUACGGGGCCGGACCCGAAAGAAGGUGAACUAUGCCUGUAUAGGGUGAAGCCAGAGGAAACUCUGGUGGAGGCUCGCAGCGGUUCUGACGUGCAAAUCGAUCGUCAAAUAUGGGCAUGGGGCGAAAGACUAAUCGAACCUUCUAGUAGCUGGUUUCCGCCGA